ACGCUGGCGGCAGGCCUAACACAUGCAAGUCGAGCGGUAGAGAGAAGCUUGCUUCUCUUGAGAGCGGCGGACGGGUGAGUAAUGCCUAGGAAUCUGCCUGGUAGUGGGGGAUAACGUUCGGAAACGGACGCUAAUACCGCAUACGUCCUACGGGAGAAAGCAGGGGACCUUCGGGCCUUGCGCUAUCAGAUGAGCCUAGGUCGGAUUAGCUAGUUGGUGGGGUAAUGGCUCACCAAGGCGACGAUCCGUAACUGGUCUGAGAGGAUGAUCAGUCACACUGGAACUGAGACACGGUCCAGACUCCUACGGGAGGCAGCAGUGGGGAAUAUUGGACAAUGGGCGAAAGCCUGAUCCAGCCAUGCCGCGUGUGUGAAGAAGGUCUUCGGAUUGUAAAGCACUUUAAGUUGGGAGGAAGGGUUGUAGAUUAAUACUCUGCAAUUUUGACGUUACCGACAGAAUAAGCACCGGCUAACUCUGUGCCAGCAGCCGCGGUAAUACAGAGGGUGCAAGCGUUAAUCGGAAUUACUGGGCGUAAAGCGCGCGUAGGUGGUUAGUUAAGUUGGAUGUGAAAUCCCCGGGCUCAACCUGGGAACUGCAUUCAAAACUGACUGACUAGAGUAUGGUAGAGGGUGGUGGAAUUUCCUGUGUAGCGGUGAAAUGCGUAGAUAUAGGAAGGAACACCAGUGGCGAAGGCGACCACCGGACUGAUACUGACACUGAGGUGCGAAAGCGUGGGGAGCAAAC
rnacentral:rRNA from 1 species